UAUUUCACCCAUAUCACCCUGCAGCCCAAGACUGGUUGCCCACUGAAGCUAAGCAGGGCUGAGCCUGGUCAGAACCUGGAUGGGAGACCUCCUGGGAAAACUAGGUUGCUGCUGGAA
rnacentral:rRNA from 1 species